rnacentral:pre_miRNA from 1 species
GAGAAAAGAACCUGUCUCGAUAGCCAAGGAGACUGCCUGUAUACCAGACAAGGAUUCUUAAACCACUAGCAAACUAGCUAGCUAGCUUAGCUAACACUAGCUAAGCUAACCAAGCAUAUCUCUCACAGUACACAUAAAUUUUUCGGAGGCCUUUGGGAGGUUGCAGGCAAGUCAUCCUUGGCUACAAAACACGGCUCUUCAUC